AACACUAUUGGAUAGGAUUUGUCACCAGGAAGGAAAGUUCAGAAAAAGCAAUCUAAAGUUUGAUCAGGUGAAUUUUAAGGAGUAUCUGAAAAGGAGAGAGACAGCUGAUGAUACAUCGCUGCACUUACAAGGCAUCUCCAACAGGGACCACCAAGGCCAAAUGUUGCGUUGCUAAACACGAGCUGGAAUCAACUAACACACCACAGGCCAAAGACUGACCAUUGGAGCGUGUGGAUCUGAAUGGCUUAGUGCUCAUCACAAUGUAAUUCUGAGAAAUUUAGAAAUGGAGAGAAGAAAAUGAAUGCCUUGCGAAAGUCUGUGACACACUGGACAACUCAGCAGGUCUCUGUCCACCUUCGAAAAGGUGAGCUGGUGCCCCGUCUGGAGAAGAGGGCAACAUCAUCAAACACAAG